rnacentral:rRNA from 1 species
UUUUUACAGUUAUAAUUGUGAAUAUUGCCUGCUCAAUGGGAGUCCUAAAUAGCAGCGUAAGCUCUAAGGUAGCAUAAUCAAUAGCCUUUUAAUUGGAGGAUAGUAUGAAAGGUAAGACAAAUAAGAUCGAGUUUUCAAUUUAAAAUUUUAAUUUAGUAGAUCAGUUAAAAUCCUGAUCUAUAGUUUAGGGACGAGAAGACCCUAUAAAGUUUUACUUCUUAGCCUUAUUUAUUGGGCGAAAAAGUUUCGUUGGGGCAAUGUUGUAAGAUAAGAUCUUAUAAUUAUAAAUUUUUAAUAAAAUUUUUUGAGCUGUUAUUAACACUGAUAGAUCAAAUUACUUUAGGGAUAACAGCAUAAUUAAGAUUUUUAAGUUCAAAUUUACAAUCUUGAUUGUGACCUCGAUGUUGGAUUAAUUCACUUAAUGGUGUAGUAGCUAUUUAUAGUAA